AUUAGCUAAACAUGAAAAAUAACUAAUUGCAAAUAACAGAUUCCAAUUAAAGCUAGCUUAUGGCAAUUAGUGAACUCACAGUCUAGUAACUCAGAAAUGUAGAGAUUCACUUGCUUUAUAUGUCACAAAACUUGGAGCAAAAUGAGAGUAUCUUCAAAUUUGAUAGCUUGAGGAUAGUUUAAUUAAGGAAAUUUAAAACUGUAGUAGGAUUUAGUGACACUAACAAGGAACAUAGCAAGAACCAAACACCAUAUCCCAUUCAAAUUACUAAAUUAUGACUCACACUUGACCACAACUAUGAACUUUCAUAAACAACCUUUAAGUGAUAUACAAGGGAAAGAAUUGUGGCGGGUGUUAAGGCACAGCAUGUUAAGUCUUUGCUUGGGACAUAUCUAAGGGUCUUAUCUGCUUCAACUACUUUGUGUUUCUGAUCCAGUUUCCUACAAAUGCUCCUAGGAAGCAGAGGAUGAUGGCCGCAGUACCAGGGUUUCUGCCAGCCUGUGAGAGACUAAGAUAGAGUCCUUGGCUCCUGGUUUUGGCUUGGCCUAGCCACAGUUGUUGGGGCAUUUAGAGAAAGAAAAAGAACCUAUUUACUGAAUCCUCAUUGCUGCCUCCCAGGAUCUAAAUUAGGAAGCAGGAGUCAGAAAACAGAGGUUCACACAUUCCCUUUUACCAGAAAAUCAGUUACAACAUGAAAUGAAAUAAACUAAAUCCAACCACAAAUUUACUUUCUACCUUAUGGAAUAAAGUUGCUUAAAUGGAAAGGUAAGCAUUGUUUGCAACUCAUAUUUUAAUUUGUUUGAUCUUGAUCCCAUGAGCUCCACAUCCUUUGUUGGAUUUGAGCUGUUUCACAACAUUUUAAAUGGUAUAGAAUUGCUAGCAGUGAGAAAAAAAAAAAAACAAACUUAUGAACAAGCAAAUAAGUUCUGUCAAUUGACCUGUCUAUCCAAUUGCAGAAGAAAUGAAGGUUGCAGCUACUUGCAAAAUAAUUUCAUUAUAAGCAUUCCUGAUAUAUGAAUGGCUGUAUGUUUUUAACAUUUGUUUGAACUAGUUGUAAUACCUAUCUGAUUCCUUUUGAGUAAAGUGUCAAAUACAAGUUUUAUGUUUGUGUAUGUUUUA